rnacentral:rRNA from 1 species
GACGAACGCUGGCGGCGUGCUUAACACAUGCAAGUCGAACGGAAAGGCCCUGCUUUUGUGGGGUGCUCGAGUGGCGAACGGGUGAGUAACACGUGAGUAACCUGCCCUUGACUUUGGGAUAACUUCAGGAAACUGGGGCUAAUACCGGAUAGGAGCUCCUGCUGCAUGGUGGGGGUUGGAAAGUUUCGGCGGGUGGGGAUGGACUCGCGGCUUAUCAGCUUGUUGGUGGGGUAGUGGCUUACCAAGGCUUUGACGGGUAGCCGGCCUGAGAGGGUGACCGGCCACAUUGGGACUGAGAUACGGCCCAGACUCCUACGGGAGGCAGCAGUGGGGAAUAUUGCACAAUGGGCGGAAGCCUGAUGAAGCAACGCCGCGUGCGGGAUGACGGCCUUCGGGUUGUAAACCGCUUUCGCCUGUGACGAAGCGUGAGUGACGGUAAUGGGUAAAGAAGCACCGGCUAACUACGUG